rnacentral:rRNA from 1 species
UUUAGCCAUGCUAGUUGCACGAGUUUAGACUCGUAGCAGAUAGCUCAGUAACACGUGGCCAAACUACCCUAUGGAUCCGAAUAACCUCGGGAAACUGAGGCUAAUAUGGAAUAGCGUUCAUCGCCUGGAGUGGCACGAACGCGAAACGUUACGGCGCCAUAGGAUGUGGCUGCGGCCGAUUAGGUAGACGGUGGGGUAACGGCCCACCGUGCCCAUAAUCGGUACGGGUUGUGAGAGCAAGAGCCCGGAGACGGUAUCUGAGACAAGAUACCGGGCCCUACGGGGCGCAGCAGGCGCGAAACCUUUACACUGCACGCGAGUGCGAUAAGGGGACUCCGAGUGCGAGGGCAUAUAGUCCUCGCUUUUCACGACCGUAAGGUGGUCGUAGAAUAAGUGCUGGGCAAGACCGGUGCCAGCCGCCGCGGUAAUACCGGCAGCACGAGUGAUGACCGCUAUUAUUGGGCCUAAAGCGUCCGUAGCUGGCCACGCAAGUCUAUCGGG